rnacentral:rRNA from 1 species
AUUGAACGCUGGCGGCAGGCCUAACACAUGCAAGUCGAGCGGAUGACGGGAGCUUGCUCCUGGAUUCAGCGGCGGACGGGUGAGUAAUGCCUAGGAAUCUGCCUGGUAGUGGGGGACAACGUUUCGAAAGGAACGCUAAUACCGCAUACGUCCUACGGGAGAAAGCAGGGGACCUUCGGGCCUUGCGCUAUCAGAUGAGCCUAGGUCGGAUUAGCUAGUUGGUGAGGUAAUGGCUCACCAAGGCGACGAUCCGUAACUGGUCUGAGAGGAUGAUCAGUCACACUGGAACUGAGACACGGUCCAGACUCCUACGGGAGGCAGCAGUGGGGAAUAUUGGACAAGGGGCGAAAGCCUGAUCCAGCCAUGCCGCGUGUGUGAAGAAGGUCUUCGGAUUGUAAAGCACUUUAAGUUGGGAGGAAGGGUUGUAGAUUAAUACUCUGCAAUUUUGACGUUACCGACAGAAUAAGCACCGGCUAACUCUGUGCCAGCCGCCGCGGUAA